rnacentral:rRNA from 1 species
GCAUCUGAUGCAGCGACGCCGCGUGAGUGAAGAAGUAUUUCGGUAUGUAAAGCUCUAUCAGCAGGGAAGAUAAUGACAGUACCUGACUAAGAAGCCCCGGCUAACUACGUGCCAGCAGCCGCGGUAAUACAAA